rnacentral:rRNA from 1 species
ACUCCUACGGGAGGCAGCAGUGGGGAAUAUUGCACAAUGGGCGCAAGCCUGAUGCAGCCAUGCCGCGUGAGUGAUGAAGGCCCUAGGGUUGUAAAACUCUUUCAUCGGUGAAGAUAAUGACGGUAGCCGAAGAAGAAGUCCCGGCUAACUCCGUGCCAGCAGCCGCGGUAAUACGGAGGGACUAGCGUUGUUCGGAAUUACUGGGCGUAAAGCGCGCGUAGGCGGACUGGUCAGUUGGGGUGAAUCCGAG